GUCUGGGCCAGCGCCUUUUCAGGGGCGUCCGACUCCCAGGAGGCAGAAAGGCACAGGUCGCGGAGUACCCCUCCUCCCCAGUCGGUGAAGUCAGAGUCAGGCAGUGGACUGGAAGGUUGGCUGCACUUCGAGAGUUGGAAGCUAGCUGGGGGCGGGACGGCGCUAGGGUACCCCAAGUGGUGAAGGAAUCACACUGGCAGCCAGACAUCCUCGUGGGAUAGGAGAGGAAACUAUGCCUCGAAUAUCCAGCCCCCGCCUCUCCUACCCGCCGCUCCUAGGUAAGAGUAACGGGAUUUCCAGCCAUAUGCCCAUUUCACGCUGGUGCGUACACACAUACAGCGAAAAUGAGCGAGAGAGCACAACGCGGCUGCUGUUGGAAAUCUGGGCCAGGAAAGACUGCUGGCGGGCCUCGAUGGACUGCCAGUGAGCGUAGGCCUGGAGGAGUGAGAAUGUUCGAGAGUCUAGAGGAGAGGAAAAAAGGCAAGGAGGCAGAGGCGGAGGCGGAGGGAAAAGAUGUUUCCUGCGGUGAGUGGCGACGUUUCCCCAUUCGAAUGUCCUCAUCCCCGCAUUUCCUGAGCGACUGCCUACCUACGCGCUCACGGUCCUCUGUGCUGGGCCGAGGAUGGCCUCUCAGAGCUCGAAUACUGGUCCUGGGACAAGGGAAGGGAAUCGAGGAAGGCACCAUGGCGGGAAGACAGAGAGAGAAGCAAAUGCCAGGAGCAGGAGGAGGAGGAGGAGGAAGAGGAGGAAAAGGGGGUGGGGAGAGGAGGAGGAGGAAGGAGGAGGAGAAGAAGGAAAUUUAUACUGUUCAUAUUAAUUGAUAUGAUAUGCCUAAUGAAUAUACUAAUAAUUUCGUUUUUUCAAGAGCUGCCUCUCUGGCUCAGGAGUCAGAGCUCACAGUGCAACUGAUUCAAACUGAAUCAAAACUCUGACAGCGCUCACAAUCACUGGACCUAAGUGAAGUGAAUCAAAGAUUGUAGAACCUGUUCCCAUCACAGAACUCUGGUUCUGUACUCUAGGGGAGGUGGUCACGGUCCCCAAAGAUGUGACUCCAGACUUGUUGUAUUGUAGGAUUCGUGGGUUUCUCCUCGGAAACACUAAAUGAUUGUAAUCCACCUUCCCCCUUCCUUCCCCACUUGUGAUUUAAGUAUAUAACCAGUGCUUUUAGUUCAGCUAAGGGAACAUUCCUCACUCUGAAAUGGAUUAAUUAAACUACUUGAUUACUGACA